rnacentral:sRNA from 2 species
GCAGGGUAAAACUUGAAGCGUGAUUUUUUUUUUUUUCUAGGAUAAAAUUUGUUGUGGUAACCGUGCGUCAAAACCACCACCCUGAAUAUAGACCACGAGCCACCGGUCCAAGCCAGAAAACAGUAGUAGGAACCAAGUCAUGUCACUUGCAACCGAGCAAAAUGACUCCUGUAAUUACUCAUGUCUCCAGCUCCUCAGUUGGAAUAUCCUCCAUGUCUUUACCCACAAUGGCAUCAGACACUUUCCAUACUUGAAGCAGGUUGUCUUCGGCUGCUGAACACAGAACCCACGGAUCAUUCAAGUUCCAGCUGAAGUCGGAGAUGCGGUUGGCAGACAUGGCCCGUUUGAUCGGGAGCAAGGUGUGCAGG